rnacentral:misc_RNA from 1 species
UUAAAAAACCAAUCAUUGAGGAAAUACGAUCUCUAAUUAACAACAUCGUCUUUCAAUAUGCGACGAGUCAGGAAGAUUAUCGAAGGGUUUAUGUUUGGGGUUUGGCGGAACACGGAGCAUUGGGAACUUUAGGAAAAACAAGAAUAGUGGACGACGUAGCUUACAUAGGAAAGCCUAGCCGAUUGUAUUUUGGAGAGAAGCACAAAGUGGUUGAUAUAGGUUGUGGCUAUGGAUUUUUUAUGUUCGGAGUCAAUUCUGACGACAGAAAAAUUGUUUAUGGCAAUGGAAUCAACACAGAUUCGCAAAUUGAUUCGAUGACUCGGACGAACAGUACACAGCCGGAAUAAUUCCUGUCCCAAGACCCAUUCAUUUGCCAUUGAAGAGUCUUUCACUAAAAGUACUUGGACUCGCAGCGGG